rnacentral:rRNA from 1 species
ACGCGUUGGGAGCUCUCCCAUAUGGUCGACCUGCAGGCGGCCGCGAAUUCACUAGUGAUUCGUAUUACCGCGGCUGCUGGCACAGAGUUAGCCGGUGCUUAUUCUGCCGGUAACGUCAAAACAGCAAAGUAUUAAUUUACUGCCCUUCCUCCCAACUUAAAGUGCUUUACAAUCCGAAGACCUUCUUCACACACGCGGCAUGGCUGGAUCAGGCUUUCGCCCAUUGUCCAAUAUUCCCCACUGCUGCCUCCCGUAGGAGUCUGGACCGUGUCUCAGUUCCAGUGUGACUGAUCAUCCUCUCAGACCAGUUACGGAUCGUCGCCUUGGUGAGCCAUUACCCCACCAACUAGCUAAUCCGACCUAGGCUCAUCUGAUAGCGCAAGGCCCGAAGGUCCCCUGCUUUCUCCCGUAGGACGUAUGCGGUAUUAGCGUCCGUUUCCGAACGUUAUCCCCCACUACCAGGCAGAUUCCUAGGCAUUACUCACCCGUCCGCCGCUCUCAAGAGAAGCAAGCUUCUCUCUACCGCUCGACUUGCAUGUGUUAGGCCUGCCGCCAGCGUUCAAUCUGAGCCAUGAUCAAACUCUAAUCGAAUUCCCGCGGCCGCCAUGGCGGCCGGGAGCAUGCGACG